UUGAACGCUGGCGGCAGGCCUCACACAUGCCAGUCGAGCGGAUGAAGGGAGCUUGCUCCUGGAUUCAGCGGCGGACGGGUGAGUAAUGCCUAGGAAUCUGCCUGGUAGUGGGGGAUAACGUCCGGAAACGGGCGCUAAUACCGCAUACGUCCUGAGGGAGAAAGUGGGGGAUCUUCGGACCUCACGCUAUCAGAUGAGCCUAGGUCGGAUUAGCUAGUUGGUGGGGUAAAGGCCUACCAGGGCGACGAUCCGUAACUGGUCUGAGAGGAUGAUCAGUCACACUGGAACUGAGACACGGUCCAGACUCCUACGGGAGGCAGCAGUGGGGAAUAUUGGACAAUGGGCGAAAGCCUGAUCCAGCCAUGCCGCGUGUGUGAAGAAGGUCUUCGGAUUGUAAAGCACUUUAAGUUGGGAGGAAGGGCAGUAAGUUAAUACCUUGCUGUUUUGACGUUACCAACAGAAUAAGCACCGGCUAACUUCGUG
rnacentral:rRNA from 1 species